UUGAACGCUGGCGGCUGCUUAACACAUGCAAGUCGAACGGAGUGGCGAACGGGAGAGUAACGCGUGAGCAACCUGCCUAUGACAGUGGGAUAGCCUCGGGAAACCGGGAUUAAUACCGCAUAGUCAUAGAUGGGCUCGAGUCUGAUUCGCUAGUUGGUGAGAUAACAGCCCACCAAGGCGACGAUCAGUAGCCGGUCGGAGAGGAGGAACGGCCACAUUGGAACUGAGACACGGUCCAAACUCCUACGGGAGGCAGCAGUGGGGAAUAUUGCACAAUGGGGGAAACCCUGAUGCAGCGACGCCGCGUGAACGAAGAAGGUAUUCGUAUCGUAAAGUUCUGUCCUAUGGGAAGCAGUACCAUAGAAGAAAGCUCCGGCUAAAUACGUGCCAGCAGCCGCGGUAAUAC
rnacentral:rRNA from 1 species